UGGGUGAUCUGCCCUGCACUUCGGGAUAAGCCUGGGAAACUGGGUCUAAUACCGGAUAUGACCUUGGGAUGCAUGUCCUUUGGUGGAAAGCUUUUGCGGUGUGGGAUGGGCCCGCGGCCUAUCAGCUUGUUGGUGGGGUUAAGGCCUACCAAGGCGACGACGGGUAGCCGGCCUGAGAGGGUGACCGGCCACACUGGGACUGAGACACGGCCCAGACUCCUACGGGAGGCA
rnacentral:rRNA from 1 species